rnacentral:rRNA from 1 species
UACGUAGGGGGCAGGCGUUAUCCGGAUUUACUGGGUGUAAAGGGAGCGUAGACGGCCAGACAAGUCUGAAGUGAAAAUCCAGCGCUUAACGUUGGAAGUGCUUUGGAAACUGCCGGGCUAGAGUGCAGGAGGGGCAGGCGGAAUUCCUAGUGUAGCGGUGAAAUGCGUAGAUAUUAGGAGGAACACCAGUGGCGAAGGCGGCCUGCUGGACUGCAACUGACGUUGAGGCUCGAAGGCGUGGGGAGCAAACAGG